GUCUAAAUUUAUAAGCUCACCACUAUCCAAAAAUCAUCCUAUCUUCUCCUUCAUCCAGAUUAAUCAUCAGAUUGGAGAAAAGAAGAAACCAACCCUAACCCUUGACGAGCUCACUGGUGAUAAUAUGAAGGACGACGAUGAAGAGGACGGAGGUAGUAGCAACAGAUGCUUACACUGGAUUGGGAGGUAUUGGAAAUUAUGAGGAAAAAGUCAGGUGCUGCUGAAAUUAGACCUACUGCUAGUUUCGUCGCAUAUUGUAAAUUUAUGAAAGUCCUCGAACCGAGAAUGCGGCAGUGUCAUUGGGAUGCAUACCAAGGGUGUACAUUCCAGCAUUAUGUAAAGUUUGGCCCCCCAGCAGUAGGUCAACCCACGCUAGAACUUGUAUUGAGUCACUAUAAGGGUAAUGAAGUGGCGUUUUCUCUGCCCGAUGUCGAAAGUGGGAGAGAAAAGGUUGUUAAUUUUGAUAUGGGCUAGGUGCAUGAACAUACAGGUUUCCCAAUUGAUGGGGAAAUAAUUUACAAUAAUAGAGAUCCUUUCCCAAGGCUUUGGGUGGAGUAUUUUGAUGAACAUUUUACUAGAACCCCAAAGAAAUCAGCGAAGAAUAUGCGGCGAUAUGUGGAAGAGCUACUGCAAUCUCUUGUUGAAUCAAGAAAGAAGAAGGAUAUUGAAGAUUUUGUGUUACUGUAGAUACUUUAUCAAUGUUCAAUGAUGUGGUGCCCUAGCAGUGUCCAAGGCAUCCCAAGGCUCUUGUUCAAAUAUAUUGAUUCAAUUGAAAGAGUGAGGAAUGUGGCCUGGGGGAAAUACAUCUAUGACCAGAUGAAGAAAAAAAUUAAGAUUGCCAUGGAAGGUCUGCACAGGUCAGGAGUAAGCUAUGUACCUGGAUGCAUGCCUUUGAUCCCCCUAUGGUACUAUGAAAUGAUGGGGAUUAAAAGAUAUGCCUUGAGCAAUAGAUUCAAGCCACCCCUCACUAACUGGGUGAAGAUUGGUGAGAAAUAUGGAUCUUUUCGAAAGCGCACAAUAGUUUCCAAGGCUGUAAAAGCUAGCAUCCAUAUUGUACAUAAACCAAUAGCUGAAAUUGGCCCAUCCGAUGAGAAAUAUCCAAUCAGAAGGCUAUUGAUGAGGCUUAGAAGUAAAGGGAUUGUACCACAAUUUCCAGUCAUACAUACGGAGGGGAAGAAAGCAGCAGUAAGGAAGAGGAAGAUUGAAGAAGAAAAGAAGAUUGAAAAAAAAAGGAAGAAGAGAAGGAACAUGAGAAGAGAUGGUCAAUAGGUUUGGUACGUCGAUGUCAUAACUACUGCUAACAACACAAUUACAUACCCGGAACUACUGUAUAUGUUCCGCGGGAGAAGACUCGAUGACAAAAUAACAGAGGCCAUCUUAGACAGAUUACGGCUAUUGCUGCAGUUGCAGGAGAACGCUGUCUUAAACAAGCAGUUAUAGCCUCCUAUGUUGUGCUUCUAAAUAGGUUGAUGGAGACGCGUCCAAACUACGCAAAGGACAUACACAUAUGUAGUCUAUGAGUAAUUGUAAGUAGAAAUCCUCCGAGAUUAUAAGUAUUAUUCAUAAGUUAUCUUAAAUACUUAAUCUUAACUUUCAUUGUUUUUUAGAGAUGCAUCAAUGAAAAUAACCCGUCGAGUGUGGAUCGAAUGUUUAAGCCAAUAACGACUACUCGAUUCCAUGAACUUGAUAAUAUUAUUUUCCCACUCCUAACUUUAUUUCAUUGGCAUAUGUUGGUAUUCUCUGUAAAGGAUAGAAGAUUUUAUCAUUAUUUUUCUCUACGCGGAUAUAUGUCCGAUGCUAGUGAUUUUAGAGUGAAGCUUAUUUCUACCAUUCCCGAUGCUUGGAAUUUGGACAUUACUUCUUGUCAGGAUAUAGAAAGUGUUGACGUACCUCAAUAACGUAGUAGCUUGGAUUGCGGGGUGUUCUUGAUGCCGUAUAUGUUUAGCCACGUUUCCGAUCAAUCAAUUUCAAUUGACCAAAAAGAUUGUGCAAGACAUAGAGUUCGUAUCGUUGUUCUAUUUCUAUCUGAAGGAGAUGGACGUGAUCCUCAAGGCUAAUUCCCCGUAUGCUAGCUGUCAAAUGUGAUAGCAAUAGUUAACCAAGUGUAAACAUAUGUUUGGAAAUUGAUUUGUAAAGUAUUUGUAUUAAUGUAUAUUUGUCAGUAUGAACAUAUGUUUGUCAUUAUGAAACCAAUGGGACUGCUGUUGGAAUAUAGUUUGUCAUGCAAGUUGUAUAUAGUUUGUUUGUCAUUAUGAAAUAUAUGUUUGUAUGAACGUUGUA